GUAAAUUGAUGGUUCUCUUGCUCAUUGCAGUCAGUGUCAACUGGAAAUACAGAAACUUUACGCAACCCCCCUUUCAUCUAAUGUUUUGCCUAUAGAAGAUGAUUUCCUGGAUAACAAAUUCAGUGCUUCGGUUAUAAAUCAGACUGCCUAUUAAGUAUGCUAACACUGUUGAUUUUUGACACUAUUCUAGAGACUAAAGAGCUUUUGUGGAUACUUUUUUAUGUAUCCUUGUUUAAAUGUGGAAAACACAGCUUGAUAGGCAAUUCUUCUCAGGUGCAAUUAUGUUGGGAGAUGCAUUGUUCUUCAGAAUGUUCUCUCAUUGUUAGGAGUUGAAGCAGACUUCAUUGUGUUUUCAAGUGAGUGAAAAAUUACAUUUCAGGAAAUAUUUGUGUUGGAACUGCAUUUGAUGGUAUGUUUAAGAGUACUAUAUCAUAUUAUACUAAAAUUGUGAAGCUCCAAUCUUCAAAGUUG